GGUUGAUAAGCUGGAAAACAAUGCUGUACAAUAUGCAUUUACAAAACAUGUUUCCAAGGGAACUAGAUAAAUGCGCCCCCAAACAAAAUGAAUUUUUUUUUUACAUCAAUAAGUAAUCCGAAAAUGGGCUUCCAUUUUCAAGGAAAGUGCAGGAAAAAACAAGCUGCUUCUAUAAACUAAAGGCAUAUGCAACAGCACGUGCAUUAUCACAUUUUAUGUAUGAUGAUUACCUGUACCCAGAAUGUCAAUAAAGCCCAAGAAAGCAGUACCAAAAAUCCCCAAGCCAACAAAGUAACAGAGAUCUGAAAAAAAAAACCUUUCGCAUAGUCAUGGCAAAGGACAAAGAUUUGCCUUUUUCACUUCUGACAGCCAAUGCAGUCCCCAGCCUAACUUCUAACAAAAAUCCUGGAUCUUUCUCUGACAGAGUUGAUGGAAAGAAAUGAAAAGAAGAAAAUCACUACUAACGUUUACAACUUGUUUGAUUUGAUAACUGAUAGCCAAAUAACCGAU
rnacentral:misc_RNA from 1 species